AGUGAACGCUGGCGGUAGGCCUAGCACAUGCAAGUCGAACGGCAGCACAGUAAGAGCUUGCUCUUACGGGUGGCGAGUGGCGGACGGGUGAGGAAUACAUCGGAAUCUACUUUUUCGUGGGGGAUAACGUAGGGAAACUUACGCUAAUACCGCAUACGACCUACGGGUGAAAGCAGGGGAUCUUCGGACCUUGCGCGAUUGAAUGAGCCGAUGUCGGAUUAGCUAGUUGGCGGGGUAAAGGCCCACCAAGGGGACGCUCCGUAGCUGGUCUGAGAGGAUGAUCAGCCACACUGGAACUGAGACACGGGCCAGAGUCACACGCGAGGCAGCAGUGGGGAAUAUCGGACACAGGGCGAAAGCCUGAUCUAGCCAUACCGCGUGGGUGAAGAAGGCCCUCGGGUUGUAAAGCCCUUUUGUUGGGAAAGAAAAGCAGCAGGUUAAUACCCCGCUGUUCAGACGGGACCCAAAGAAUAAGCACCGGCUAACUUCGU
rnacentral:rRNA from 1 species